rnacentral:rRNA from 1 species
UACGUAGGGAGCAAGCGUUGUUCGGAUUUACUGGGCGUAAAGGGCGCGUAGGCGGCAAUUCAAGUCACUUGUGAAAUCUCCGGGCUUAACUCGGAACGGUCAAGUGAUACUGCUUUGCUAGAGUGCGGAAGGGGCAAUCGGAAUUCUCGGUGUAGCGGUGAAAUGCGUAGAUAUCGAGAGGAACACCUGAGGUGAAGACGGGUUGCUGGGCCGACACUGACGCUGACAGCGCGAAAGCCAGGGGAGCAAACAGG